ACCUAGGUGGUUUAGUCGGUAAAACACCCGAUUAUGGUGCGGUAGGAUCUGAGUUCGAGUCCCGGUGAAGGCA